rnacentral:rRNA from 1 species
AUGAACGCUAGCUACAGGCUUAACACAUGCAAGUCGAGGGGCAGCAUGGUCUUAGCUUGCUAAGGCCGAUGGCGACCGGCGCACGGGUGAGUAACACGUAUCCAACCUGCCGUCUACUCUUUGGACAGCCUUCUGAAAAGGAAGAUUUAAUACAAGAUGGCAUCAUGAGUCCGCAUGUUCACAUGAUUAAAGGUAUUCCGGUAGACGAUGGGGAUGCGUUCCAUUAGAUAGUAGGCGGGGUAACGGCCCACCUAGUCUUCGAUGGAUAGGGGUUCUGAGAGGAAGGUCCCCCACAUUGGAACUGAGACACGGUCCAAACUCCUACGGGAGGCAGCAGUGAGGAAUAUUGGUCAAUGGGCGAGAGCCUGAACCAGCCAAGUAGCGUGAAGGAUGACUGCCCUAUGGGUUGUAAACUUCUUUUAUAAAGGAAUAAAGUCGGGUAUGCAUACCCGUUUGCAUGUACUUUAUGAAUAAGGAUCGGCUAACUCCGUG